rfam:Trichobilharzia regenti genome assembly, scaffold: TRE_scaffold0070328
AUCCAGAUGUUGAGUCCCAAAUAGGACGAAAUGCGCAUUAUCCUGGAU